UACGUAGGGGGCAAGCGUUAUCCGGAUUCAUUGGGCGUAAAGCGCUCGUAGGCGGCUUGUUAGGUCGGGAGUUAAAUCCCGGGGCUCAACCCCGGCACGCUCCCGAUACCGGCAGGCUUGAGUUUGGUAGGGGAAAGUGGAAUUCCAAGUGUAGCGGUGGAAUGCGCAGAUAUUUGGAAGAACACCAGUGGCGAAGGCGGCUUUCUGGGCCAUAACUGACGCUGAGGAGCGAAAGCUAGGGGAGCAAACA
rnacentral:rRNA from 1 species